AGUGGCGAACUGGUGAGUAACACGUGGGAAACCUGCCCAGAAGCGGGGGAUAACACCUGGAAACAGAUGCUAAUACCGCAUAACAACUUGGACCGCAUGGUCCGAGCUUGAAAGAUGGCUUCGGCUAUCACUUUUGGAUGGUCCCGCGGCGUAUUAGCUAGAUGGUGGGGUAACGGCUCACCAUGGCAAUGAUACGUAGCCGACCUGAGAGGGUAAUCGGCCACAUUGGGACUGAGACACGGCCCAAACUCCUACGGGAGGCAGCAGUAGGGAAUCUUCCACAAUGGACGAAAGUCUGAUGGAGCAACGCCGCGUGAGUGAAGAAGGGUUUCGGCUCGUAAAACUCUGUUGUUAAAGAAGAACAUAUCUGAGAGUAACUGUUCAGGUAUUGACGGUAUUUAACCAGAAAGCCACGGCUAACUACGUGCCAGCAGCCGCGGUAAUACGUAGGUGGCAAGCGUUGUCCGGAUUUAUUGGGCGUAAAGCGAGCGCAGGCGGUUUUUUAAGUCUGAUGUGAAAGCCUUCGGCUCAACCGAAGAAGUGCAUCGGAAACUGGGAAACUUGAGUGCAGAAGAGGACAGUGGAACUCCAUGUGUAGCGGUGAAAUGCGUAGAUAUAUGGAAGAACACCAGUGGCGAAGGCGGCUGUCUGGUCUGUAACUGACGCUGAGGCUCGAAAGUAUGGGUAGCAAACAGGAUUAGAUACCCUGGUAGUCCAUACCGUAAACGAUGAAUGCUAAGUGUUGGAGGGUUUCCGCCCUUCAGUGCUGCAGCUAACGCAUUAAGCAUUCCGCCUGGGGAGUACGGCCGCAAGGCUGAAACUCAAAGGAAUUGACGGGGGCCCGCACAAGCGGUGGAGCAUGUGGUUUAAUUCGAAGCUACGCGAAGAACCUUACCAGGUCUUGACAUACUAUGCAAAUCUAAGAGAUUAGACGUUCCCUUCGGGGACAUGGAUACAGGUGGUGCAUGGUUGUCGUCAGCUCGUGUCGUGAGAUGUUGGGUUAAGUCCCGCAACGAGCGCAACCCUUAUUAUCAGUUGCCAGCAUUAAGUUGGGCACUCUGGUGAGACUGCCGGUGACAAACCGGAGGAAGGUGGGGAUGACGUCAAAUCAUCAUGCCCCUUAUGACCUGGGCUACACACGUGCUACAAUGGAUGGUACAACGAGUUGCGAACUCGCGAGAGUAAGCUAAUCUCUUAAAGCCAUUCUCAGUUCGGAUUGUAGGCUGCAACUCGCCUACAUGAAGUCGGAAUCGCUAGUAAUCGCGGAUCAGCAUGCCGCGGUGAAUACGUUCCCGGGCCUUGUACACACCGCCCGUCACACCAUGAGAGUUUGUAACACCCAAAGUCGGUGGGGUAACCUUUUAGGAACCAGCCGCCUAAUG
rnacentral:rRNA from 2 species